rnacentral:misc_RNA from 1 species
GACGAACCGGACAAACGUUAUUCGGAAUCAUUGGGCUUAAAGGGUGCGUAGGCGGCCAGGUAAGUCGGGUGUGAAAUCCCUCAGCUCAACUGAGGAAUUGCGCCCGAUACUGUCUGGCUCGAGGGAGACAGGGGUGAGCGGAACUGAUGGUGGAGCGGUGAAAUGCGUUGAUAUCAUCAGGAACACCGGUGGCGAAAGCGGCUCACUGGGUCUCUUCUGACGCUGAGGCACGAAAGCUAGGGUAGCGAACGGG